GCAGAGCUGACAUGACUGUGAACUGUGAUGUUUGAUGUGUGUUGGCUCUCCUGCGCGCAGUAAUAAAUAGCUUGAUCACAGCAGAUUUUAUUUACAAAAUUCCACGAUACCCCCCCACCCUCCCACUGUGAACAUGAAUUGAAUAUUCAGAAGACAUUUGUUUAAAUACUUCUAGAAAUCUGAGCUGUUGGUGUGUCCUUGGAUUGUGUGUUCUCCACAGUCGCUGUGCACAUGGGUCAGUGGGACCAAGAAGCACUCUGCUAAUGUGAGACUCUGACCAGCAACAUCCAGCAAGACCCAGGCAGCGUUUUCUAUCUCCCAGCUGGAGUUUUUUGUUUGUGACGGGAGAGUCAGAUUUUUGUUGAAGCUGGAGGAACAGAGAGGUUAAUACACGCUACUGAUCCCUGAUGGGAGAAUCAUCACCUCUGCUAACAAAGAAGCCUGGUGGAUAUUUGUUUACAGACUGAUGAUGGGACAUCAUGCUCUGCAUCUUCAAAGUUUGUCUCUUGAUUAUUAUUCAUAAACAGUAAUGUGAAUUAUGCUUAUAUCUAGGGAUGCAACGAUACCAAUUUUUUCAAACCGAUCCGAUACCGAUACUUGGAUCUGAGUACUUGCCGAUACCGAGUACAAAAACCGAUACUUCUACCACACACAAGUUAAACUUAACCAGUAGUAAAGAAACGACCCCAGACAACUCUUUAACACAAACGAAACGUUUACUGAACGUAAGGGCAGAGACAAAUACUGUACAACACAUCCCUUUUUUAAACUCAAAUGAUAUUCCAAUUCCUUAACCAAAUGAAAUACACUGUAUAAAUGAAAUAAUUCCCUUUCAAAUUAUAUUAAACAACCCAAC
ensembl:lncRNA